rnacentral:lncRNA from 1 species
GCCGUGUGUGCGUGGCAGGUCUCUCCAAUGCAAGUGGUGGAGUCAGGAGAUGCCUCUGAAGGGAGCCAGCUCCUUCCCUCGGGGGGAGGCAGCCCAGGCCUGGAGCAGGCUCCAGGUGCAGGAAAAGCCGAGCAGAGCUGGGAGAUGCAGCCAGAGCAGGGGGAUGGAAGGACGAACAGCCCAGGGCUGAUGCUGGAAAUGCUCUCCCUGCUGCCUUCCUGCUUCUGGUGUGUGAGAAGAGCCUGUGCUGCCCGUGGGACUGGGGGAAAAAUCCUGCUGGAGGAGACAGAGGGAUCUCUGCUGUUACCCAGGCUGAGGAAAAGGACGUGGAGAGCAAUGGAGAGGAGUAUUUAUGAUGAUCACAAAGGAAAGAUCACAACACAUCCAGGCAAAAAAAAAGGAAGCCGGAGGAAUGAGCCGACCUACAGAUAAUAAGUAACAAAUCGGGAAAGGGAGGAAGAUAAUGGCUGUGAUUAGAAACGAGACACUGGGAAAUAAAGAACAAUGGAUGGGAGAAGCAAAAGUAUCCAUUUAAAAAAAAAAAAUCCAUAUCCAAAUGUGUUCUGGACAACAAGGAAACAUUUUAGAUUAGGCUGGAACAAAAGAAAUUCCAGCAAAAUUGCCGUGUUAUAGAUCCAGGUUUUGAUAGGGGCAGGAAUGCCAUCAAUAACGAUGCAGAUGAUGCAGAAGAGCCCAAAACCUGCUCUGGGAAACAAUGAAGGGAACAGAUUUCCAGCCCUCAUCCCCCAGCAUUUUCCAUCCCAAUGGCAGCAGCUCCCAAAUUGUUCGCAGCUUAAAAGCUGUGAAGCCGCAAGCUUAAUUAAGCGCAAUAAUUAUUAAUUUUUAAAAGCUUGCAAUUAAUUUUUAAACCAGUUUUCACCUGCAAGAUCAGCCAAGUUGUUUGGAAAUUUGUGGAGGGAAGCCACUAAAUAUUUUACAAGAAUAAAGCUGGUGUCAGGGCGCUGUUAAGAGGGUGAAAAACGGGACUGGGCACCAGCUGGAGGUGCCACUGUCCCCUAAAGCUUCUCCCCCUCCUUCCUCCCUGCUCCCCUCUAUCUUAGGCUGGGUCUAUCCUAUAAACCCCUCCUCUGUUUUCCCCUUGGAAUCAAACCUAUUUUUUUAGAAGCUGGGGAAUAAAAAGUGUUUCCAAAAGCAUUCUGUGAUCCUGGGGUUUUUUCUCUGCUGCUGGAGUUGAUUGUCCUUGUUACUCCAGGAGAAGUUUGGAGCUGUUUAAUUUGUUGGCUCGCAACAGGUGGAAGGGGAUGCAGAAGGUUUGAUGCAGGAUUUGUGGGAU